GCGCCGUUAGCUCAACUAGGCAGAGCAGAGCACUCUUAAUGCUAAGGUUGAAGGUUCGAUUCCUUCACGGCGCACUA
rnacentral:tRNA from 1 species